rnacentral:tRNA from 3 species
AGGGGAGUAGUUCAAUUGGCAGAGCAUCGGUCUCCAAAACCGAAAGUUGUGAGUUCGACCCUCACCUCCCCUGCCA